GCAUUAGUGGCGUAAUGGAUCAGCACGACAGACUGGAUAUCUGUAAGUCCGGGAUCGAAUCCUGGCUGAGGUC
rnacentral:tRNA from 1 species